rnacentral:rRNA from 1 species
UACAGAGGUGGCAAGCGUUGUUCGGAAUUAUUGGGCGUAAAGGGCGCGUAGGCGGUCCUUCAAGUCAGGCGUGAAAGCCCCGGGCUCAACCUGGGAACCGCGCUUGAGACUGGCGGACUCGAGUUCGGGAGAGGAUGGUGGAAUUCCCAGUGUAGAGGUGAAAUUCGUAGAUAUUGGGAAGAACACCGAUGGCGAAGGCAGCCAUCUGGACCGACACUGACGCUGAGGCGCGAAAGCGUGGGGAGCAAACAGG